AUUGAAAUGCCACCAUUAGUAAAGAUUUCCAGACGAUUACGGGAACUAUGGACCCUGUAAUUACGGACGAACAAAUUAAAUUGUACCAAGAUGUGUUCAGGCGAUUCGACAAGGACAAGAAUGGAACGAUAUCAGUGGAGAACCUUGAGAAAGUCAUGAGGGCCCUUGGUCAAGAGGUCACGCAAGAUGAUGUCAAGGCCAUGAUCCGUGAAUACGACAGAAGUGGUUAGUCUUUAGUAGCUAUAGUAUUGAUCUAUAUGUUUGUAGGAUUUCAAGUUUUGUUAGAUUUUUUAUAAAAUUAUUGUUUCUUGGAUUACUUAACUUCAAAUUACUAGUAGCGAAAAUCAGUGUUGAAUUUUUAAAACCUUUUCAAACAUUGUUUACAUAUACAUCUGCAUGCAAUAUAAGUAUUAGUAGUUCCAAGCUAUAUACAUGUACAUGUAAACUUUUACGUACAGGCCUUAUAGUUUUAACAAACUUAUCUGAAUGUGAUUAGAUUUAAGUACAUCAAUAAUAUAAUUAUAAUCUAACGUAAGAUAUAAAGAACACUCAGAUGAAACUCUCUCAAAAUGCUCAUCAACUAAAAAAUAGUGUCUUGAAAUGCGAUAUUAUCUUUAAAAUAUUUCUUUUUUUUUUUUAAAAAGGGUUCUUUUUAAAAGACAUCAUAUGCUCUCUAAGUAUAUGUCAAUUCGGACCAUCUGAUAUGAUUGGAUCUUGUGUUUUCAUUGUGUAUUCUAGACAAUAUCCUGUGACAAGAGAACAUUUCAUAAGCAAGACAAUGUUUUAAGGUUUUGGGAAUAUAUUUUAACAAACAGUAUCACAAUAAAUAAAUUAUAGAUAUAAGUACCAAACUCGAGUAAGAAAUACAAAGGCAUUGUAUAAACAAAACAAUUAUUGUUAAAUGCUUCAAACCACUAGAAACAGGUUUAAAAUCUCAAGUUUCAACUGUCUUUCUUUUGUAGCCAAUAAGUUGUGCACUACAUGUUAACAUUAGUUGCAGCUGUUUUCAUUCUUUUGUAGCCAACAUAUUUAUCAUCUAAUUUUAAACUUCAAGUUGCAACUGUCUUCCAUUGGUGGCCAAUGAAUUCACAACUAAUUGUCUUUCUUUUGUAGCCAAUGGAUUCAUUCACUACAUGGACUUCAUGGAAAUCAUGGCAAGGAGGGGUGACCAGACAGAGAUUAUGACAGAGGAUGAACUAGCCGAGGUGUUCAGUGUGUUUGAUAUGGACGGCUGUGGCAAGAUCACGGCCAACGAUCUGAGAGAAGCAAUGGCAGCUCUGGGCAACAGUAUAACGGAAGAGGAAGCAGAGGAGCUAAUAUCGAAGGCGGAUACGGACGAAGACGGCAUGGUUAACGUAACAGAUUUCGUCAAGAUGAUGGUGGCGACGACGUGACACAUAAAGGAAGUCAAAAAGUACGCAACUAAAGCUAGACCCCUGUUUGUGACGUGUUAAGUGCAAUUCAUUUCAGUGAUGAUUGGACCUUUACUAUACAGUAAAGCAGCUGUGAUAUGUUAAUAUGUGCUGCCUGUUUGUAAAAUUUAUCUGCAUGGCAUUUCAUUGAGUCUUACUGUGAUACGUGAUACAUUGUGAUAUAUAAUUCAUGAAAUAUGUUUUGUAAAAUAAAGUUAAUUUUAUCAUC
rnacentral:misc_RNA from 1 species